GCGUUGGUGCUGCAACGGCUCAGCAUAAGCCCCCAGAAAGAGUGAGAUCUGGGUUCGAAUCCUGGCUGACGCA